AGUGAACGCUGGCGGUAGGCCUAACACAUGCAAGUCGAACGGCAGCGCAGUAAGAGCUUGCUCUUACGGGUGGCGAGUGGCGGACGGGUGAGGAAUACAUCGGAAUCUACUUUUUCGUGGGGGAUAACGUAGGGAAACUUACGCUAAUACCGCAUACGACCUACGGGUGAAAGCGGGGGAUCUUCGGACCUUGCGCGAUUGAAUGAGCCGAUGUCGGAUUAGCUAGUUGGCGGGGUAAAGGCCCACCAAGGCGACGAUCCGUAGCUGGUCUGAGAGGAUGAUCAGCCACACUGGAACUGAGACACGGUCCAGACUCCUACGGGAGGCAGCAGUGGGGAAUAUUGGACAAUGGGCGCAAGCCUGAUCCAGCCAUACCGCGUGGGUGAAGAAGGCCUUCGGGUUGUAAAGCCCUUUUGUUGGGAAAGAAAAGCAGCAGGUUAAUACCCCGCUGUUCUGACGGUACCCAAAGAAUAAGCACCGGCUAACUUCGUG
rnacentral:rRNA from 1 species